GGGGGGUGAUGGCGUGCCUAUUGAAGAAUGAGCCUGCGAGUCGCCGCCGCGUCGCGAGGUUAACCCGCGUGGGGGAGCCGUAGCGACAGCGAGUCCGAAAGUAUGGGGCGCCCAGUGGCGCGGCGCGGACCCGAAGCGGGGUGAUCUACCCAUGGCCAGGUUGAAGCACGUGUAAGAGCGUGUGGAGGACCGCACCCGCCUCAGUUGAAAAUGGGGGGGAUGAGCUGUGGGUAGGGGUGAAAGGCCAAUCAAACCCCGUGAUAGCUGGUUCUCCCCGAAAUGCAUUUGGGUGCAGCGUCCCGCGCUCCCCGGCGGAGGUAGAGCUACCGGUUGGCUGAUGGGCCCCACAGGGUUACUGGCGUCAGCCGAACUCCGAAUGCCGUCGGGCGGUGAGCGGGGCAGUGAGACCGCGGGGGAUAAGCUUCGCGGUCGAGAGGGGAACAGCCCGGAUCGCCGGCUAAGGCCCCUAAGCGCGCGCUAAGUGGGAAAGGAUGUGCGGUCGCGGUGACAACCAGGAGGUUGGCUUAGAAGCAGCCAUCCUUGAAAGAGUGCGUAAUAGCUCACUGGUCAAGUGGUCGUGCGCCGACAAUUGAGCGGGGCUCAAGCGCGCCGCCGAAGCCGCGGACCCGCCGCGAUCGGCCCCGCCCCCCCUGGGGGGUGGUGGGGCGCGGCGGGUGGUAGGGGAGCGUCCCGCGCCGGGGGAAGCCGCCGGGUGACCGGGGGUGGACGGCGCGGGAGUGAGAAUGCAGGCAUGAGUAGCGAUACUGGGGUGAGAAGCCCCAGCGCCGCGUGACCAAGGGUUCCAGGGCCAGGCUAGUCCGCCCUGGGUGAGUCGGGACCUAAGGCGAGGCCGACGGGCGUAGUCGAUGGAUGACGGGUUGAUAUUCCCGUACCGGACCGGAUACCGACCGUGCCGACGCGCGGGCGCUGACCCACGCCCCGCGCCGCCCGAUAAGCGCCCCCCUCAACCGGUCUUCGGGCCGGAGGGGGGCGGGGCGGCGGGGGUCUGGGGACCCUCCGCGCAGGUAGGCAAGCGUAUUAACAGGGGUGACGCGCAGUGGUGGCCCCGCGGGCCUGAUGGCUCGGCCCGUCCAAGCGCGCGGCCCGCCGCCCAGGCAAAUCCGGGCGGCUGCCUUAGAUGGCGGGGGUGAGGCGCGACGGUGACCCGGCCCGAUGGGGCCGGGGAAGCAGGGUGAUCCUGAGGCGCCUAGAAAAGCCUCGACGCGAGGGGCCGGUCCGCCCGUACCCCAAACCGACACAGGUGGUCGGGCAGAGCAUGCCCAGGCGCACGAGCGAACCGUGGUGAAGGAACUCGGCAAAACGCCCCCGUAACUUCGGGAGAAGGGGGGCCCGGACCCUGAAACGGCUGGCCCGUUAGGGGCGAGGGCCGCAGAGGCCAGGGGGGAGCGACUGUUUACUAAAAACACAGGUCCGUGCGAAGCCGUAAGGCGAUGUAUACGGACUGACGCCUGCCCGGUGCUGGAAGGUUAAGAGGAACCAUCAACCCUCGGGUGAAGUGGUGAAUUUAAGCCCCAGUAAACGGCGGUGGUAACUAUAACCAUCCUAAGGUAGCGAAAUUCCUUGUCGGGUAAGUUCCGACCUGCACGAAUGGCGUAACGACUCCCCCGCUGUCUCCACCACGGGCUCGGCGAAAUUGCACUACGAGUAAAGAUGCUCGUUACGCGCAGAAGGACGGAAAGACCCCGGGACCUUCACUGCAGCUUGGUAUUGGCGCCCGGUUCGGCUCGUGCAGGAUAGGUGGGAGACCGCGAAACCGCCGCGUCAGCGGCGGCGGAGUCAUCGUUGAGAUACCACUCCGGCCGUGUCGUGCGCCUGAACCUCGGCCCGUGACCCGGGUCAGGGACAGUGCCUGGCGGGUAGUUCAACUGGGGCGGUUGCCUCCCAAAGAGUAACGGAGGCGCUCAAAGGUUCCCUCAGCCUGGUCGGCAACCAGGUGUCGAGUGCAAGUGCACAAGGGGGCUCGACUGCGAGACCGACGGGUCGGGCAGGUGCGAAAGCAGGAACUAGUGAUCCGGCG
rnacentral:rRNA from 1 species